AACAGAUGGAUGCAGUGGGUGGCUCACUAUAAGACGUCAGGUAGAGUAGAGUACAGUUCACAAUGUAGUGUGUGGGUGGGUGGUGGGUACAACAUGACGGGUUAAGGGAAGGCUCGUGCUGUAAGAGGUUUUGAAAGACAAUGUCUGGCGUCGUUGUUAUUCGGUGUGACUCUGAUGAAAAAGGUCAUUAGUCUUCAUCACUCAUGGUCACAGCCCACUCAUCAAAAUAUCAUCCUUUGAGUCAAGGUACGUUUCUAGCAGGCUGCUAUUUCAAAUGGAGGAAUACAAAAUGUAUUCAUGCCCAUGUGUUUCUCUGCACUAAUAAUGUUAACUUUUUUUUCUUAAGUAAACAACAAAUUUACCUAUUCGUUAAUAGAUGAUGUACUGUAUGUAUUUAUGUAUUUCAUAAUGUAAACCUAUAGUAUUUAUCUCCUACAGGAUGAAAGCCUUUACAAGAUCAUUCCACAGGCUCAAGAUAGAAGUAAUACCCAGACAUGUACAACUUUUGCCAGGGAAAGAGAGCUGCAAUUGGGACUUACACCAUGGCUACUACACAUGUAUAUUGUGUUACAGUAUUCCCCUUCAAGAAAGAAGCCGACACUGCACCUCAAACUCGUACAAGUGCAUGCUCCCCAACUUGUUGUGGAAUGAUCCCUCCACUGCCACCAGUGUAGCAGGAGAGAAAAAGCUGCAACAGGAACUCGAGGCAAUAGUCCAAUAGACUGUUCCACAAAAUUCCAGGCCUCUGGGCAGAGGCAGUACAACUAAUACAUACUUUGUGUUACACAAGCAACUGAAAAUUAAGAAAAAGAGCAAACCUGGCAUGACAGAGCUCACCCUCCUUGUUAGUUUGUCUGCCCCCCAGGGCUCCAUGUUCUACCACAUGCCACCCUCCCAGAAUAUCAGAAUCUGUCCCUCCUCUGAGUCCAGCGCGUUGGGGUAUCCUGGAGUGUGCGUGAGUGGGCCCUCCAGCAUAGGUCAAGACCAUGGGCUGGGGGUGGAGGAGGCCGGUACACUCACCCAAAUGACUCAUGGGUAUGGUGAAUGGCAGUGCCUCUGCCUCCCUCUACCAACCCCACUUUCUCCCCAGUUUUGUCCUUCAGAACUCAUGCUGGCUGUGGUAACCGUGUGCCGAGGGCAAGACGAGGAGGAGUAGGUAAAUCAAUGCUCACCUGACAUUCGCUUCACUGUGGAAAAUGUAUAGUAUCCAUGUAGAGUGGCAUUACCUGGAAUGGAAGAGAGCUGCUGAGGAGGUGGGCAGCUGACAUCCUUUCUCAUGUUCCAUUAGCAAGACAGUUACACCAUCAGUCACCGUCACAGAAUGAGUAACAGGAAAAUAACCACUUCAGGUCAGUUUUAUUGUCAUGGCCGUUGAAAGAAGAGGACCAAGGUGCAGCGUGGUGAGCGUACCUAUUCCUUUUAUUAUUAUGAUGCCGACAAAAACAAUAAACAAUCCAAAAACCAACCGUGAAGCUAAAGGCUAUAGUGCCAACAAACAAAGACAACUUCCCACAAAGAAAGGGGGGAAAAGGGCUACCUAAGUAUGGUUCCCAAUCAGAGACAACGAUAGACAGCUGUCCCUGAUUGAGAA